UGUGUGUGUGUGUGUGUGUGUGUUUUUCGUGUGUGUGUGUGUGUGUGCACACCAGGAGGACCAGGAGGAGUUGAGUCCCAGCCCCACCGAGGAGCCGUGGCCCAAGAAGUUCCCCGAGCCCCUGUCCUGGAGGAGCGACGAGGAGGACGAGGACAGCGACUUCGGGGAGGAGCAGAGGGACCGCUACCUCAAGGUGAGCACCUCCGCCGAGCCCCAGGAGUUCUUUGUGUUCCUGCAGCGUCUCCUCAGCCCGGUGCUGGAGGCGUACAGCGGAGCGGCCAUCCUGGUCCACAGCCUGAAGCAGCCGGUGGACGAGAGGGAGUACACCCAGCAGCUCUUCAGAUACCUGCUGACCCGCACCGAGAGGGGCGUGGCCGCCUACGGUGAAAGUGCAACGCACUACCUGGUCAAAAACACAGUGAAGACGUUCAAAGAGCUUGGGGUUCUGAAGGAGAGGCGGGAGAACAGGGUGACGACCCUGGAGCUUAGCACCACCUUCCUACCUCAGGCACACCGCAGUAAACUCCUGCACUACAUCCUGGCCUUCAUCCUGCAGUGACCCCACCCAGGUCCUCCAACACCUCCCUCUCACCACCCCCCCACCCACCACCACUACCAGGACCCCAACCCCCCGUGGAAACAAGGGCUUCUACUGGCUACUUCUUAUUUCUCCCAGGUGCUAUACUCUGUGGAAAGCUUUACCAGGAAGUGCCUUCAUACGCUAGUCGCUAACCGAUAGCCGUUAGCUCGAGGAGUCGCGAGGCCAGCCUUCUGUCACUGUUUGCUCAAGGGCACAAGUCUCGUCUUAGCCGUAGAGGGAAACUAGCGCUUGGCUGCUAGCCGCUAGCUCUUAGCCGCUGGCAGCUAGCCGCUGGCUCUCAGCUGUUAGCUGCUAGCCGCUAUCUCUUAUCCAUUAGCUCUCAGCAGCUAGCUUUUAGCAGCUAGUUUAACGUAUGAACACCCCCAGUGGACGCCCAGAGGUACUGCCCUCUGUCCCGUGUAGAUCCUAAACCCCUGGAAGAAAUGGGUUCAAAGGUGGAAUGAAUCUUUAAGGAAACUUUUGAAAUGAUGAUAUUACCCUUUCCAACUCUUUCAAUAAUUAUUGUGGUAUUGAGAGCAAACUCCAUGCAAAGCAUGCUUCAUUUCAUGCAAACGUCGAAAGUCAAACCAUCGAAUUCUGCAUCAGGAAUGGCCGUCGACUGGAAAGCGUUUUUAUGUCGAAUUGUAAACUCAUGCAAGUUAACGGAUGAAUCCGGAAAAAAAUAUAUGUUAAACUUCCCUCAAAAGACAAAAUGUACAAAUGUGUAUAAUGCGUAACGCAUCAGUGUUGAAGAGCAGACUCUGAAAGCCAUUCAACGUUACAUGCUAAGUUACACGCAUGAAAUUAGAGGUGUCAUGGUGAAAAAACAUUUGAUGUAUACACCAUUUAAUCAUAAAUAUAGAUACAUAGUUACAACUUUUGUUGUUUCAUACAUCUAGUAACUAUAGAAAACCCUUAGAUUAUAUAGUCUCCCCGCUUAAAACUAGCUAGAUGUACUGGAUGAAAUACCAGCAUAGUUCGAGCCUCAAACUCUAGUAGCCAAGUGCAAUGAUUUAUUUUUCUCUCUCAGAUAAGAUGAUUUAAAAGGAGAUGUAGAUUAAUCAAAAAGAUGUAACCUAUUUCUAAAACGACAAAGGUUGAAAUUGAUUAAGCACAGAAAAAUGUCUAGAUUUAAAGAUGAUGAAAUCUAGGUUUGGCAGCCUUCUAUUUUAGAUGUUUUCUCCAGAUAUUUGGAUACAUAUUCCAGUACCACUGAUGAAGCAGGCCGAAUAGUUCUUGCUGUCACUCUUGGGUAUUAUUUUGACCAGGCUAAUGAGAUGCUAACUUUGAGAUGUACAUAUCCACUAGUUCCCCUGUCGGCAAACCCGUGUUAGCUCAACCACUUCUGGUUCAAGAUGAGGAAAAACACUUUGCAUUGUUGUGUCAUUGACAUUAUUUAACCUAAAUAUUGGUGUUAAAGAAGAAUGGUUUUCAAAUGGGAUUGUCAAAAUCAUUUUUGUCUGUAUCCAUUCAUUUCUUUCAACCGAAAACAUAAAAAUGAUUGCUUGAGCAGUCAAGCGGAUCGAACAAAAGUUACCCUUAAUCUUUUAACAUGAAGUGUAGGUGAUCUGAAGAAGCAUGAAGAUGUGUGUGUGUGUGUGUGUGUGUGUGUGUGUGUGUGUGUGUGUGUGUGUGUGUUUCUGUGUGUGUAUAGGCCAAGUUGGGAAGACUUUGGAAGGGGGAUGUUUGGGGCAUUAUAUGAAACAGUGUAAAUAUGUUGAAUAUUAAAUUAUGAACGUAAAAUGACUGUCAAAAUGGAGCCCCCUUUGGUUGGUUUUGUGAAUAGAAGUGAAGUCUCUGUGGAUGUUGAAUGGUCAGUGAUACAAGUCAAACCCUUAAAAAUAAAAAUGUGACUACAAUAUAUAUUUUUGAAUCGGUUGGCAUGACCCAUGUUAUGGAAUACCUUCAAACAAAUGUAGAGUCAUUUGUCCACGGCAUUCAACAAUCAAAUGCUACAAUCCACAAGAAGGAUUUGUCAUGUGGUCUUUGUUGAGGGCAACUAGUUAUGUAUCCGAUCUGUGUGUGUGUGUUGAGAUUCAGCUGCUACCAAUGUGUAGGCCUACCAUAUGAACACCAUCAUUUCAAUGUCUCACACAGGACAAACGACUAUUAUAGCAAUACUACUGCAGCAGCUUCAACAGAUCCCUGAUGGGAAGCCAACACACAACAACAACUCUGUUUUGAACUUUACUUUGCCGUACUGUAUGUACUAUCACAUACAUGUACUUCACUGUACUUGCUGUACACUGUAUGUACUCUGUACUGUACUUGAAGAAUCCUCUGGGCGCCUCAGUACUUCCAAAACAAACUCUGUGCCCAACCCGAGAAAUGUCUUUAUCGUGUGUGUGUGUGUGUGUGUGUGUGUGUGUGUGUGCGUGCGUGUGUGCGUGUUCGGUAAAGUCUCCCCCCCUCCCCUCCCCCGUCACCUCUUGAAUGUAAGUUUCGUCCGGGGGGAUUUCGAACCGCCGGUCGCCGUGACGAUCGUGUUACAUGUUGUACGCACAAACGUGUCGCAGUCUAACGACCUCUUGAAGUGAAAGAAAGAGCUUCCCCAUUGCUAGCAUACUGAAAAACAAUGCAAAAACAUCUCCUCGGUAGCUGAAAGUACUGAUGUGUGUAUCAGAUACCGGAUUCUCUCUCUCUCUCUCUCUCUCUCUCUCUCUCUCUCUCUCUCUCUCUCUCUCUCUCUCUUCUCUCUUCUCUCUUCUCUCUUCUCUCUUCUCUCCUCUCUCUGCGGUUUGCUGUUUCCGUUUUGUGCAUGUUAACACCCGGCCAGCCGGGAAUAAAAGAAAUGUCAAUAAUAGUAACAAAAAAUAGGAACAAUUGCACUUGAGUUUACCGUUAGAGGAAUCACCAGCCAACUGGCAGAAUAAGUCCUUUUUUUGUUGUUUGUUUGUUGAAACAAAAUCAAUGUCCAAGCACUGUUGACAUCAGUAGGAUUUGUUUUUGAUUAAAUUAAUGAUCGAUUAACCAAAA